GCAUUGGUUCUUCAAUGAUAGAAUUCCCGCCUUCCAUGCAGGAGACCCAGGUUUGAUUCCUGGCUGAUGCA
rnacentral:tRNA from 1 species